rnacentral:rRNA from 1 species
GACGAACGCUGGCGGCGUGCCUAAUACAUGCAAGUCGAGCGGAUGAUGGAGGAGCUUGCUCCUCCUGAUUCAGCGGCGGACGGGUGAGUAACACGUGGGCAACCUGCCCUGUAGAUUGGGAUAACUCCGGGAAACCGGGGCUAAUACCGAAUAAUCCUUCGGACCUCAUGGUCCGAUGUUGAAAGACGGUUUCGGCUGUCACUACAGGAUGGGCCCGCGGCGCAUUAGCUAGUUGGUGAGGUAACGGCUCACCAAGGCCACGAUGCGUAGCCGACCUGAGAGGGUGAUCGGCCACACUGGGACUGAGACACGGCCCAGACUCCUACGGGAGGCAGCAGUAGGGAAUCUUCCACAAUGGACGAAAGUCUGAUGGAGCAACGCCGCGUGAGUGAAGAAGGUUCUCGGAUCGUAAAACUCUGUUGUGAGGGAAGAACAAGUACCGGAGUAACUGCCGGUGCCUUGACGGUACCUCAUUAGAAAGCCACAGCUAACUACGUGCCAGCCGCCGCCGUAACAC